rnacentral:rRNA from 1 species
CCUACGGGAGGCUGCAGUGAGGAAUAUUGCACAAUGGGGGAAACCCUGAUGCAGCAACGCCGCGUGGAGGAUGACGCAUUUCGGUGUGUAAACUCCUUUUAUAAGGGAAGAAAAUGACGGUACCUUAUGAAUAAGCACCGGCUAACUCCGUGCCAGCAGCCGCGGUAAUACGGAGGGUGCAAGCGUUACUCGGAAUCACUGGGCGUAAAGGACGCGUAGGCGGGUUGGUAAGUCAGAUGUGAAAUCCUACAGCUUAACUGUAGAACUGCAUUUGAAACUACCGACCUAGAGUAUGGGAGGGGGAGAUGGAAUUAGUGGUGUAGGGGUAAAAUCCGUAGAUAUCACUAGGAAUACCGAAAGCGAAGGCGAUCUCCUGGAACAUUACUGACGCUAAGGCGUGAAAGCGUGGGGAGCAAACAGGCUUAGAUACCCCGGUAGUC